CCAUAACCCAAAACCGAAAAAUCAGUAACAUGACCGGCUCGAUGGUUAAUUACUUAAUUCUCUGGAAUGGAGAUGGUCUAAUAAUAAUAAGUUGGUGAGUAAAUUUACCUGAUGAGGUCUCUGUCAAGGCUCGAAGCAGAGAGCAUUCCUCUGUUCUCUUCAGCCCUCCUAACCAAAUAAGGCAUCACUAUAUCAAUCUCUCCAAACGGCAUGUAUUUACUAACUCGAAACCCGGCAUUCUUCAGCCCCAUCGAAAGCGAUUCCCCCAUCCCGUAAAGCUGUGCAAACUCCAGCCUCUUCUCCUCCAUUCCCAUUAUCCCCAUCUCUCUGGCCCUGGUAGCCGCCAGCCUGGCCGAUUCUACAUUAUGCGUCGCCAGAACCAACCCAUCGUUCGUUCCCAAGCCAGAAUUACCAAUCCGAUCGAUCAUAAACCUCGCGCAAUCGUUGUAACAAUCGUGAGUGUCCUGAAUCGUGUCAUGGACGGGAGACUCGAAUCCGAGUUUCGAAGCCAGCAGUCUCUCGCUCGACAUAUAGGCGCCUCUGACAAGCUUGAACCCCAUAGCCAAACCCAUCUUGUCUGCAGCCUUUGUAGCCAUGAGUAGCCUAUCCUUGGCAUCCUUCAAGUAAGCCUGGAUGGUGUUGUACACCAAAGGUGUGUCCUUUGUGUUGUAAACAGCGGCUGCCGUGUAGGUGAAGUAAUCGAUGGCCGGUUGGAGCUUGGUGUCCUCUGCAUCGAUGGUGAGAGGUAUGUUCGAUUCCGAGCAUCUUUGGCAGAGAAUGUCGAGUCUUUUGUGGGCUAGUUGGAGGUCUUGUUCUUCUUCUUCUGUGAGUUGAGCUGGUUGGGUUAGAGUGUGGUACAAUGGGCUUGAUUCUGAGAAAAUUGGCAACGAGGAAUUUGAAGAUUGUUUCCAUGGCAGGUGGAAAUUUGACGGCUGCCGUUGUUGCCACCGGAGUAAGUCGCUGAUCCGCUCAAGCAGUGUCAGUGGGCAAAUGGCCGUCAUCUUGAUUGGUACGAAACUCACCUUUUGGAAAACAAAACAAAACAUUAAAGUGGGUCAAGUUGGAGGAAGAUACGUAUAAAAAUUUGGAUCUUCCUCAUUUGUUGGAAUCUCCCACUCCCACUUGCAAAAGUGAAAAGAAUCUUGUCUUGGUUUUUUGUUCUUAUUUUUCAUUAAAAUGGAAUCUACUAAUAAGUUAAAAGAAUGAAGAAAAGAUACUCACCGAAGAUGCUGGAAGAGAGGCAGCGGAAUCCACCGUCUCGAGGAACCCUUCCAAAUUCCGAUCACAAGCCUCGUUGUCAGGGGUGUACUCCACGGCAAAAUCCAGCAUGGCGCGUAGCCCGGACUCGUUCAGCUCCCUAACCUUCUCACGCGCCUCCGCAGAAGUCUCCCCGCCGCAGAAAUGCUCGUAGAACGUCCGCCUCACAACCCCGUACACCAGCCCCCGCACGGCUUCCACCUCCAUGAGGCGCGACGUCAGCACCUUCGAACCGACGUCCACCACCACCUCCGACGCCGACGCGUGGAGGACGGCGGAGGCGUGGAUCAGCUUCUGAAGGGGCACGGCGCCGUACAGUUCCCGGUGAUCGUCCAGCUGUAGGAUGGAGGUUGGCGACGCCGGAGGAGGUGGGGUGGUAGUACUGCCGAAGGUUGUGGCCGGGAUGUCCACGUCGACGUGGGUGGUCAAGCUGAGAGGUGGGGCGGCGGCGGAGAAAGAUGAAGGGGAGGAGUUGAGGUGCCUGACAACGGCGCUGUGACGGAGGAGGAAUUUGGUGGCGGUUUUGGCAGUGGUGGCCAUCAAUGUCGGAAAACAGAAUCAAGAAGUUUGUCCCUUUGGUGGUGUAAUUUGUUUUCCGAUGGGUGAGUGAGCAUUUGUUGUAGGAAGUGAAGGCUCUUUUAUAGGCAACAGAAGUAAUAUUUUACUAUUAUUUUCUCAUUUUUCUUAUUCAACUAGAUUCAACGGCGGAUGCAUGUGGUCCAAGUGGGUGUGACUGGACCCCACUUUAGUCAGAAAAAAUAAUAUAUCCAUUGUAAAUCUGCGUGUUGCCACGUACUACAUGACAAAUCAAAAACAGCUGUUCCGACGGUAGCCAUUGUUCUCGAUUCAGCUUCCCCGACAUUGCACCUUUCAGCCUUCUCUUCCAAUCCUUACUCUUCAAGGAAAGCAUUUAAUUCAAAGACUAAUAUGGACCCUAAGAUUAUGCCGCUCGACUAAUCUAAUGGUCCAUAUUAAAACGUGAAUCACCUAACCACUCGACCAUAUUGUUUACUUUAAUUUUAAUAGUGGUUGGUUCAUGAUAAGUACGUUGUUGUAACUUGUAACAUGGCAUAUAACUUUGGACAUGUUACAUUUUCUGUAACAUGGCAUAUUACAAUUAAUAUUUGACAGUUCCCAGAAGUUAGGAAACAGAAAUUGUCAGCUGCUUGGUUUGUAAAAUAUUUUAUUUAUACCCCGUAAUAUUAAAAUAAGCAGUCAAAUUGUGGGGAACAAACCACACCCAACCUGCACUAGAAAGGGCCGUACAUUUACUUAGUAGGUGCGAGUGACGACUGACAAUCACGAGCUGCAUUCCUUGUUCGUUCGUUCAUAUCUCUAUACAAAUCCAAACAGCUGUUCCCCACGCUGCUUAUCUUCCUGCGUGUUGCCACGUACUACAUGACAAAUUGAUCCCAAACAGCUGUUCCCCAGGACUGUUUCUUAAUUCAGCUUCCCCAAGAUUCCAGCUUUCAUCCUUCUCUGCAACUCCUUUCUGCAAUUACCAAAACCCAAAUAACUAGUUGCAUGGUUGCCUGGAUGGUUAUAGUUUCUUAAUAAUUAAUAUUACUAAUAAAGACUAUUAUUGACUAAUAACCUGAUGAGCUGUCUGUCAACCCUGGAAGCAGAGAGCAUUCCUCUGUUCUCUUCACUCCUCCUAACCAAAUACGGCAUCACUAUAUCAAUCGCUCCAAACGGCAUGUACUUACUAACUCGAAACCCGGCAUUCUUCGGCCCCAUCGAAAGCGAUUCCCCCAUCCCGUAAAGCUGUGCAAACUCCAGCCUCUCUGGCUCUAUUAGCCGCUAGCCUCCCCGAUUCGACAUUAUGCGUCGCCAGAACCAACCCAUCCGAAGAAUUCGAGUUACCAAUCCGGUCGAUCAUAAACCUCGCGCAAUCGUUGUAACAUUCGUGAGUGUCCCGAAUCGUGUCGUGGACAGGAGACCCGAAUCCGAGUUUCGAAGCCAAAACUCUCUCGCUAGACAUGUAAGCUCCUCUGACAAGCUUGAACCCCAUAGCCAACCCCAUCUUAUCAGUAGCCUUUGUAGCCAUGAGUAGCCUAUCCUUGGCGUCCUUCAAGUAAACCUGGAUGGUGUUGUACACCAAAGGUGUGUCCUUUGUGUUGUAAAUGACGGCUGAAGUGUAGGUGAAGUAAUCGAUGGCCGGUUGGAGCUUGGUGUCCUCUGCAUCGAUGGUGAGAGGGAUGUUCGAUUCCGAGCAUCUUUGGCAGAGAGUGUUGAGUCUUUUGUGGGCUAGUUGGAGGUCUUGUUCUUCCUCCUCUGUGAGUUG
rnacentral:lncRNA from 1 species